rnacentral:rRNA from 1 species
UACGUAGGUGGCAAGCGUUGUCCGGAAUUAUUGGGCGUAAAGCGCGCGCAGGCGGUCCUUUAAGUCUGAUGUGAAAGCCCACGGCUCAACCGUGGAGGGUCAUUGGAAACUGGGGGACUUGAGUGCAGGAGAGAAGAGUGGAAUUCCACGUGUAGCGGUGAAAUGCGUAGAGAUGUGGAGGAACACCGGUGGCGAAGGCGGCAUCCUGGACCAAUUCCGACACUGAGGAGCGAAAGCCAGGGGAGCAAACGGG